rnacentral:rRNA from 1 species
GUUGUAUGGUUAAGUGACUAAGCGUACACGGUGGAUGCCUUGGCAGUCAGAGGCGAUGAAAGACGUAGUAACUUGCGAUAAGCCCAGAUUAGGUAGUAACAACCAUUUGAGUCUGGGAUUUCUGAAUGGGGAAACCCACGUGCAUAAGCACGUAUCCUUACCUGAAUACAUAGGGUAAGGAGGCGAACCGGGGGAACUGAAACAUCUAAGUACCCCGAGGAAAAGAAAUCAACCGAGAUUCCGAAAGUAGCGGCGAGCGAAAUUGGACUAGCCCUUAAGCUUUACACGCGUUAGACGAACGGUCUGGAAAGUCCGACGAUACAGGGUGAUAGUCCCGUAGUUGACGACGUGUGUUCAGUGAAAUCGAGUAGGGCGGGACACGUGAUAUCCUGUCUGAAUAUGGGGGGACCAUCCUCCAAGGCUAAAUACUACUGACUGACCGAUAGUGAACCAGUACCGUGAGGGAAAGGCGAAAAGAACCCCUGUGAGGGGAGUGAAAUAGAACCUGAAACCGUGUACGUACAAGCAGUAGGAGCAGGCUUGUCCUGUGACUGCGUACCUUUUGUAUAAUGGGUCAGCGACUUAUAUUCAGUGGCAAGGUUAACCAUCUAGGGGAGCCGUAGGGAAACCGAGUCUUAACUGGGCGUUCAGUCUCUGGAUAUAGACCCGAAACCAGGUGAUCUAGCCAUGGGCAGGUUGAAGGUUGAGUAACAUCAACUGGAGGACCGAACCGACUAAUGUUGAAAAAUUAGCGGAUGACUUGUGGCUAGGGGUGAAAGGCCAAUCAAACCUGGAGAUAGCUGGUUCUCCCCGAAAGCUAUUUAGGUAGCGCCUCGGACGAAUACUACUGGGGGUAGAGCACUGUUAAGGCUAGGGGGUCAUCCCGACUUACCAACCCUUUGCAAACUCCGAAUACCAGUAAGUACUAUCCGGGAGACACACGGCGGGUGCUAACGUCCGUCGUGGAGAGGGAAACAACCCAGACCGCCAGCUAAGGUCCCAAAUUACUACUAAGUGGGAAACGAUGUGGGAAGGCUCAGACAGCCAGGAUGUUGGCUUAGAAGCAGCCAUCAUUUAAAGAAAGCGUAAUAGCUCACUGGUCGAGUCGGCCUGCGCGGAAGAUGUAACGGGGCUAAGUAGUAAACCGAAGCUGCGGCAAUAUACUUUUGUAUAUUGGGUAGGGGAGCGUUCUGUAAGCGGUUGAAGGUGUGUGGUAACGCAUGCUGGACGUAUCAGAAGUGCGAAUGCUGACAUGAGUAACGAUAAAGGGGGUGAAAAACCUCCUCGCCGGAAGACCAAGGGUUCCUGUCCAACGUUAAUCGGGGCAGGGUAAGUCGACCCCUAAGGCGAGGCCGAAAGGCGUAGUCGAUGGGAAACGGGUUAAUAUUCCCGUACUUCUUACAAUUGCGAUGGGGGGACGGAGAAGGCUAGGUGGGCCUGGCGACGGUUGUCCAGGUUCAAGUGCGUAGGCUUAAGAGUUAGGUAAAUCCGGCUCUUUUUAAGGCUGAGACACGACGUCGAGCACCUACGGGUGUGAAGUCAUUGAUGCCAUGCUUCCAGGAAAAGCCUCUAAGCUUCAGAUUGUAAGGAAUCGUACCCCAAACCGACACAGGUGGUCGGGUAGAGAAUACCAAGGCGCUUGAGAGAACUCGGGUGAAGGAACUAGGCAAAAUGGUACCGUAACUUCGGGAGAAGGUACGCUCUUGAUGGUGAAGUCCCUUGCGGAUGGAGCUGACGAGAGUCGCAGAUACCAGGUGGCUGCAACUGUUUAUUAAAAACACAGCACUGUGCAAAAUCGUAAGAUGACGUAUACGGUGUGACGCCUGCCCGGUGCCGGAAGGUUAAUUGAUGGGGUUAGACUUCGGUCGAAGCUCUUGAUCGAAGCCCCGGUAAACGGCGGCCGUAACUAUAACGGUCCUAAGGUAGCGAAAUUCCUUGUCGGGUAAGUUCCGACCUGCACGAAUGGCGUAAUGAUGGCCACGCUGUCUCCACCCGAGACUCAGUGAAAUUGAAAUCGCUGUGAAGAUGCAGUGUACCCGCGGCUAGACGGAAAGACCCCGUGAACCUUUACUACAGCUUGGCACUGAACAUUGACCCUACAUGUGUAGGAUAGGUGGGAGGCUUUGAAGCACGUACGCCAGUAUGUGUGGAGCCGUCCUUGAAAUACCACCCUUGUAGUGUUGAUGUUCUAACGUCGACCCCUAAUCGGGGUUGCGGACAGUGCCUGGUGGGUAGUUUGACUGGGGCGGUCUCCUCCCAAAGAGUAACGGAGGAGCACGAAGGUGGGCUAAUCACGGUUGGACAUCGUGAGGUUAGUGCAAUGGCAUAAGCCCGCUUGACUGCGAGAAUGACAAUUCGAGCAGGUGCGAAAGCAGGUCAUAGUGAUCCGGUGGUUCUGAAUGGAAGGGCCAUCGCUCAACGGAUAAAAGGUACUCCGGGGAUAACAGGCUGAUACCGCCCAAGAGUUCAUAUCGACGGCGGUGUUUGGCACCUCGAUGUCGGCUCAUCACAUCCUGGGGCUGAAGUCGGUCCCAAGGGUAUGGCUGUUCGCCAUUUAAAGUGGUACGCGAGCUGGGUUUAGAACGUCGUGAGACAGUUCGGUCCCUAUCUGCCGUGGGCGUUGGAAGAUUGAAGGGGGCUGCUCCUAGUACGAGAGGACCGGAGUGGACGAACCUCUGGUGUUCGGGUUGUGUCGCCAGACGCAUUGCCCGGUAGCUAAGUUCGGAAUCGAUAACCGCUGAAAGCAUCUAAGCGGGAAGCGAGCCCUGAGAUGAGUCUUCCCUGAUACUUUAAGUAUCCUAAAGGGUUGUCGGAGACUACGACGUUGAUAGGUCAGGUGUGUAAGUGCUGUGAGGCAUUGAGCUAACUGAUACUAAUUGCCCGUGAGGCUUAACCAUACAACACCCAAGGGGUUU